rnacentral:snRNA from 1 species
UUGCUGAUCAGCAGAAGAA